UACAACACGCAGCUCCUUCCAACAUCUUAGCAUCAGUGGGACACACAGACAGCGAGUCCCCGUGAAGGGCAACCGCAGACCGGGCCGAGAAUCAGUUGACCCUUCCUCAGCCAGUCACAAAUGCCUCCAUCUGUAAAAUGACAGUGAGAAAUGCUUAAUCUUCCAAGAUGAAUCUAACAGAUGCUUCUCCCAGGAAAUGAACUAAAGGUUGCAGCUUUGCUUGAGCGAUUGUGAGUCAGGCGACCCCCUGCCUGUCCCCAGGCUGAGAGGAGAAGCUCUAGCUCAUUCUCUGGGACCAGCCAUGCUAUGUUGGCUGGUAUACCAAAAGAAAAUGACAGCACAAAACCCAGCCAAGCUCCUUGGAAAUGUAAAUAGACCGGAACCACUGGUGUCCUCUUAACACAGCAUCAAUCACUGCUGGGUGCUGGAAGUGGCAGCACGUUUGUUAUGGUCCAAGCAACCAUCACAGGCAGCAGAUGGAGAAGGUUUAAGACCUAGUAUCAGUGUUUUGGAGGUAUGCAUGAUUCUCUGCAGAAAAUGGAGCACAGAUGGAGUCUGCUUUGACCUGCUCACUCAGUAACUGCAAAAUACUUGUGUUUUCAGACCAACUCGGUAUUUAUCUUGAGGCUCUGUGGCAUGGUUUGGAAACCCUGCACAUAAUCCCUACUCAUGCUGGUCUCUGUUGGCCAUUAGCUGAGCUUCCUGUGGAUUUACAGUGAAGUAGUAGACAGUAAACCAAGGCAGGUCCUUAGCUUCUGGUGGGGUCUUCUCAAGAAAAAUUAACCUGUUUACUUUCUCCAAGCAGACUGUGUUUUCAAAAAUAGUAGUCUCUGGAGAUGGUUGCUGCAAGUGAACCAUUGCAGCUGGUGCUCAGUGCCAUAUUCAUCAGCCACAAGAACAGAAUCAGAUCCGUCCAUAUUGGGGGAUUCCCAUGCCACAGAGACUUCUCCCGGAAGACAGGGGGACCUUAGAAAGCAUGGGGGGCCUGUGCUGGGCUCUCUUUUGGAAUGGUGGUGCUGUGAGAUGCUUUGACCUAGGAGAUAAGUGCAGAUGUGAUUUCUUGGGUGUGCCAUCUUUGUGGAGAACAAGCAACGGUCACUCUCCAGUGGAGGGACCUACACCUGGCCUGUUUCAGAGGCCUGCCUCUUGAGGAGCUGUCUCUUACAACCUCUUCUUUCUCACUGACUAUCAAGGGAGCCCAGGAGAACAAACCAAAGAAGUGUCUGUGUUACAGGUGUCUGAAGUGAUGCAAGAUAAAUCCCACCUGUAGAGACCUUGUCAUGUGUCCAAGCCUGGUGAGCUUCCCGUGUCUUCAGCUAUAACUAUGUAAGAACAAAGUGAGUUGCUCCUUUCAUUUCUCCCUGUGUACUCAGAGGCUUCAGCAAGGUCUCUGAUGGAUCUGUAGCUGAAAGAUGUGUUCAACAGAAACUAUUAACCCAGUUAACACAUUAAUUCAGUAGUUCCUUUCAGUAGCAUAUUACCAGCCUACAUAGACCUUGGGGCAGAACAUCUUUCCUCCUUCUUGUUGUCCUUUGAGUCCUGAUCGUGCUGUCCAUAUGGACAGCCCUGGUAAGUAUUUCCCAGGAGACACUGAGAUCUGUAAUUUGGAUUUCUCUUGGCCAGGUCUGCAUGACAGAUACCCGAUUGCAUUGCUCUGUUGGGUAGAUAAUACGUGAUCCUGAUGGACAGAGGAGGCCAGAAGAAGACUGUUUUGAAGGUAAUGUUGCAGCUGUAGUUAUACCAGCAACACUGCUUUCAGAGCUUGUUUUAUUUGAGUAGCUCUAGGGAUGAAUUUUGGGCUGUGCUCAGAAGGAUAACACAUUGUUAUAUUAUCCUGAGCACCUCAUGUAGGAGCGUGCCAAUUCUUGGAUGUCCUUGUGGGAUGUUUGUUUCUCAGCCAAUUUCUGUUUCAAAGCUUGCUUUUUCCAAGAACACCAGGUGGUUAUGCGAGUCACUGCUUUUCAGGUUACUGUCUUUCAUGCCAUGGAGCAGCGAGGGGUAUGUGAUGCAGCUGCCUAGAGGAACUGCUGAGAAUUUGUAGUCACUGAGGCUAGUACAUACUAGAGUUGAUUAAUAGCUGUGCUGGUGGUAAUACAACUGAAGGAUCAAUCCAGCCUGUGUGGAACCACAGCUUAGAGCAGUGAAAGAUUUCUUGCCAGUGUAGGAGGGUAUUUGCACCACCUCUAUCUUUUAAGAUGGUUAUCAUAUGUUGCCUCCAGGGAGGGUGGUUGAAAGCCAGAGCCCAGCUUGGGAGCUGUUAUACAUUCUUUUCUCCUCCUUUAACUACAGGUGGAGCUGAGGGGCUACUUUCUGACUUAGGGGAUAGCUAGACAAGUCUGGCCACCUGAAAUGUCAUAGAUUUCCUUUUCCCCUGAGUAUGUCCUCCUGCUUCUCUCCAUCUCCUUGAAUGAAACCAUUGUCUGGGGAGCUGAUUCCACUUAAAACAAAACU